rnacentral:rRNA from 1 species
AAGUCAGGAUGCUAAAUUGGCUACUGCCCACGGCACACACAGCGACUGGGGUGAAGUCGUAACAAGGUAACCGUAGGUGAACCUGCGGUUGGAUCACCUCCUUUCUAGA